AAGGGUGGCGUAGGCGGCCUGUUAAGUCAGGGGUGAAAGACGGUAGCUCAACUAUCGCAGUGCCCUUGAUACUGAUGGGCUUGAAUGAACUAGAGGUAGGCGGAAUGAGACAAGUAGCGGUGAAAUGCAUAGAUAUGUCUCAGAACACCGAUUGCGAAGGCAGCUUACUAUGGUUCUAUUGACGCUGAGGCACGAAAGCGUGGGGAUCAAACAGGAUUAGAUACCCCAGU
rnacentral:rRNA from 1 species